rnacentral:rRNA from 1 species
UACGUAGGAUGCAAGCGUUGUCCGGAAUUAUUGGGCGUAAAGAGCGCGCAGGCGGUAUGACAAGUCAGAUGUGAAAGAGGCCGGCUUAACCGGCAAGGGUCAUUUGAAACUGUCAGACUAGAGUGCAGCAGAGGAUAGUGGAAUUCCCGGUGUAGUGGUGAAAUGCGUAGAGAUCGGGAGGAACCCCUAAAGCGAAGGCAGCCGGCUAGACGAUGAUUGACGCUGAGGGACGAUAGCGUGGGGAGCGAACAGG